UGAAAAAGGCCCAAGUACAGAAACAGCUCC
rnacentral:piRNA from 1 species